AAGGCAAGUAAAUCAGCUCCAUUUUUCAAGAUUUCUUGCUCUUAGCGUUUUUAUGUAAUAUCACGUUCAUGUUUGCGCUAAUAUGAGUUCCGAUCAGAUGUCAUCCAUCGAGCAAUAUGCGUUCGGCCCUUUUAAGAUAGAUCCUAGGCAAGUGUUCUAUUCAACCCCUCUAUCCUACGCCUUGGUCAACUUGCGCCCUCUGCUUCCUGGUACUUAUCACUUCUUUCUGCUUUUACUCCGCUUUCUUAUGUGCAGACAAAACUGAAACUGUUUGAUGAAUUGAUUCAAUGAAAGAUUAGUUAUAUAUGCAAUUCAGGAGAAGCAAGACCUUGCAAUAUUGAAUUGGUUAGGGUAAUUAGCAUUUUGAAUAUGCUGUGGUGGUUUGAGUGUAAAAUUAAAAUGAGGGUUUUGAAGAACUUUUCGAUGAUGAGCCUUAGCCAAUAUGAUAUUUUGAUGGGUGUUUCAAAAUUUGUGUUUAAAAAGCAUAUGGCAGCAUAUGGGGAAAUCAAAAUUUGUGUUUAAAAAGCAUAUGGCAGCAUAUGGGGAAAUCGGGAAUUUUCUAUGUUAAGGGAAGCCCUCAUGCAUCUGUUGCUGUGUGGAUCUUGUUUGAUUGAUUCUGGAUCCAUUCGUGUCUCAUGCUUCUAUCAGUCUUGUAUUCCUCUAUAGAGGUCUCAUACUUUCAUCUGAUUUUUGAUUAAGUUUCUCUUUGCUUUUGCAGGUCAUAUCCUUUUUCUGCAGAAAUUCUAAUUCUUUGUUGGUAUUGGUUCCAACAUGUGUUUGUUUCAUUUAUUCCCUGAACCAAAAUUUGUAAUUUAUAAGGGCAUUUUUCAUAUAGAUCCCCCAGUUUUGGCAUAAGUAUUGCAAAAUUGAUAGGUUUGCAUUAAACAUCAUGAGGGAUAUUAGGUUAUGAUGCAGGCCAAAAACCAGGACUGGGUAACGUACAUAUCUAAAAUAUUUCCAUUUUGACAUCGCCCGUGAUAUAGUUGAUUAGUAAAAUUAAAGGACCUAGAGCACCUUGAUGUAUUAGGCCGAAGAUGAAGACCUACAGAGGCUGCCACUGGAUUGACUUUUUAUGCAGUCACGUACUAUUUGGUUCCUAUGUGUUUGUAUGUGAUGUCUAUGUGCAUUUAAAUUCUGUUAACUUAACAUUACGAACAUGUGCUUGUCUGCCCAAGGCGUGACGCGGUUCGCUUUGGUGAUCUUACUGCUGAUGAGACCCGUGAUUUAUGGCUCACGGCCCAGACAGUUGGCACACAGCUCGAAAGCUACCACAAGGCUUCAUCACUAGCAUUUGCCAUUCAAGUA
rnacentral:lncRNA from 1 species